UACAUCUGUGCACUAUGUCUGUAUAGCUCUUAGCAACAAGUCAUAACCUAUACUUUGUACGCACUUGUCAGAAACGGCGAGAAAACAAGAUAGAGAAAAAGAGGGAAGAAAAGAGAAGGGAAGAGGAAGAAAGGAAAGGAGAGAAGAUAGAAAGGCAAGAUGGAAAAGAGAUAGAAAAAAAGUCCAGUGGAAUGUCUCGGGAAGACCUAAGGAUUCUCAUCGAGUAGUAUCUUAGGAAGACUGUCUUGCGGUGCUUUUGCGGCUCGACAAAAACCAUUUUUUUUGCACCUAGAGCAGAUUUUAAUAUUUUAUUUGUAUACAAAUUUAUUAAUAAAAAAAAAUUAAAUUAUACUUUUAAUAUAUUGAAAAAUAUAUAUUGAAAAAUAAAAAUAAAAUAAAUAAAAAUAUUCAUUUUCAUAAAAAUUCUGAAAGUAAUUUAAGAAGCAAAAUAAAAUGUUCUAUAAAAUAAAAAUUUAAAUAUUAAACAUAGAAGAAUAUAUUAUUAAUUAUUAGAAAAUUCUCACGGAAAAAUUUUCAUGUAGAAUUAAUUCUAAGUUUAACAUAAUGUAAGGUGCAUUUCAACGCAUACGAGGAACCUCUGCGAAGAGCAAAGAAAUUGAAUAGGAAUAGUAGCUGAAGGACCGAGGCAAAGAAAAUGAAUCAUGACGAGUGGCUAUGACUAAUGUAUUACAUUAAUAACUGAAUUUAGUUAUUAAUUUGAUACCAGAUGGCGCAGUAAUCCAUUUAUUUAUCUGUCGUUUCAAUAGAAACUCUAAGAAGAGUGAAGAAAAAAAUAUUUACAAAGAAGAGAUUCGUUCGAAAUGAUUGUCAACAGUCAUAACAAGAUUAAUUUUUAGGAGAAAAUUUUAAACUGUAAUGUGAUGAAUACUAUCGCAUUUUAAAAUGCAUAUUGUGGAAACAUCAAAGAAGCAAAAGAGGAAAGAAAAACGAAUAAAUGGAAGACGAAUGGAAGAGAAGAAGGAGAAGGAUGA